UACGUAGGGGGCGAGCGUUGUUCGGAUUUACUGGGCGUAAAGGGCUCGUAGGCGGCCAACUAAGUCAGACGUGAAAUCCCUCGGCUUAACCGGGGAACUGCGUCUGAUACUGGAUGGCUUGAGUUUGGGAGAGGGAUGCGGAAUUCCAGGUGUAGCGGUGAAAUGCGUAGAUAUCUGGAGGAACACCGGUGGCGAAGGCGGCAUCCUGGACCAACACUGACGCUGAGGAGCGAAAGCCAGGGGAGCAAACGGG
rnacentral:rRNA from 1 species